rnacentral:rRNA from 1 species
GGUUCGAUUCUGGCUCAGAUUGAACGCUGGCGUGAUGCUUUACACAUGCAAGUCGAACGGCAGCACGGACUUCGGUCUGGUGGCGAGUGACGAACGGGUGAGUAAUGUAUCGGAACGUGCCUGUAGCGGGGAUAACUACGCGAAAGCGUAGCUAAUACUGCAUACGCCCUUCGGGGAAAGCGGGGACCUUCGCCUCGCACUAUUAGGAGCGGCCGAUAUCGGAUUAGCUAGUUGGUGGGGUAACGGCUCACUGCUGCGACGAUCCGUAGCUGGUUUGAGAGGACGACCAGCCACACUGGGACUGAGACACGGCCCAGACUCCUACGGAGGCAGCAGUGGGGAAUUUUGGACAAUGGGGAAACCCUGAUCCAGCCAUCUCAAGCGUGUGCGAUGAAGGCCUUCGGGUUGUAAAGCACUUUUGGCAGGAAAAGAAACGGCACGGGAUACCCCGUGCAACUGACGGUACUCUGCAGAAUAAGCACCGGCUAACUACGUGCCAGCAGCCGCGGUAAUACGUAGGUGUGCGUUAAUCGGAAUUACUGGGCGUAAAGCGUAGCAGGCGGUUCGGAAAGAAAGAUGUGAAAUCCCAGAGCUUAACUUUGGAACUGCAUUUUUAACUACCGAGCUAGAGUGUGUCAGAGGGAGGUGGAAUUCCGCGUGUAGCAGUGAAAUGCGUAGAUAUGCGGAGGAACACCGAUGGCGAAGGCAGCCUCCUGGGAUAACACUGACGCUCAUGCACGAAAGCGUGGGGAGCAAACAGGAUUAGAUACCCUGGUAGUCCACGCCCUAAACGAUGUCAACUAGCUGUUGGGGCCUUCGGGCCUUGGUAGCGCAGCUAACGCGUGAAGUUGACCGCCUGGGGAGUACGGUCGCAAGAUUAAAACUCAAAGGAAUUGACGGGGACCCGCACAAGCGGUGGAUGAUGUGGAUUAAUUGAUGCAACGCGAAAACCUUACCUACCCUUGACAUGUCUGGAAUCCCGAAGAGAUUUGGGAGUGCUCGCAAGAGAACCGGAACACAGGUGCUGCAUGGCUGUCGUCAGCUCUCGUGUCGUGAGAUGUUGGGUUAAGUCCCGCAACGAGCGCAACCCUUUGUCAUUAGUUGCUACGAAAGGGCACUCUAAUGAGACUGCCGGUGACAAAACCGGAGGAAGGUGGGGAUGACGUCAAGUCCUCAUGGCCCUUAUGGGUAGGGCUUCACACGUCAUACAAUGGUCGGGACAGAGGGUCGCCAACCCGCGAGGGGGAGCCAAUCCCAGAAACCCGAUCGUGGUCCGGAUCGCAGUCUGCAACUCGACUGCGUGAAGUCGGAAUCGCUAGUAAUCGCGGAUCAGCAUGUCGCGGUGAAUACGUUCCCGGGUCUUGUACACACCGCCCGUCACACCAUGGGAGUGGGUUUUACCAGAAGUAGUUAGCCUAACCGUAAGGAGGGCGAUUACCACGGUAGGAUUCAUGACUGGGGUGAAGUCGUAACAAGGUAG